GCAUACUAGUGCGCGCUUCCAUAACGGAAGCACUCACUAGUAUUCGCUUUAUACGCAUUAUCUGUAUAUCGGCAUGGUUAGAUGCCGAUACUGAUAAUGUACAAAAUCCUAAAUAUCGGCCAAUAAUAUCGGGAUCGACCGAUUAUCGGAAGGACUGAA